rnacentral:rRNA from 1 species
GAUGAACGCUGGCGGCGUGCCUAAUACAUGCAAGUCGAGCGAACAGACGAGGAGCUUGCUCCUCUGACGUUAGCGGCGGACGGGUGAGUAACACGUGGAUAACCUACCUAUAAGACUGGGAUAACUUCGGGAAACCGGAGCUAAUACCGGAUAAUAUAUUGAACCGCAUGGUUCAAUAGUGAAAGACGGUUUUGCUGUCACUUAUAGAUGGAUCCGCGCCGCAUUAGCUAGUUGGUAAGGUAACGGCUUACCAAGGCAACGAUGCGUAGCCGGCCUGAGAGGGUGAUCGGCCACACUGGAACUGAGACACGGUCCAGACUCCUACGGGAGGCAGCAGUAGGGAAUCUUCCGCAAUGGGCGAAAGCCUGACGGAGCAACGCCGCGUGAGUGAUGAAGGUCUUCGGAUCGUAAAACUCUGUUAUUAGGGAAGAACAAAUGUGUAAGUAACUAUGCACGUCUUGGCGGUACCUAAUCAGAAAGCCACGGCUAACUACGUG